rnacentral:rRNA from 1 species
GACGUAGGGCGCGAGCGUUGUCCGGAUUUAUUGGGCGUAAAGAGCUCGUAGGCGGUCUGUCGCGUCGAUCGUGAAAACUUGGGGCUUAACCCUGAGCUUGCGGUCGAUACGGGCAUGACUGGAGUUCGGCAGGGGAGACUGGAAUUCCUGGUGUAGCGGUGAAAUGCGCAGAUAUCAGGAGGAACACCGGUGGCGAAGGCGGGUCUCUGGGCCGAUACUGACGCUGAGGAGCGAAAGCUAGGGGAGCGAACAGG